rnacentral:misc_RNA from 1 species
AAUUCUCAACCUUGGAAAGCUUUUGUUAUCCAUGGCUUGGAUGUGGAGGUUGCGGGCUUUUCGAAGUCGGCUCCUCUGAAAUGUAUUAGCUGGGUUUGCGCCUUCAGCCUAUUGGUGUGAUAAUUAUCUACGCCUCUUGUGUUGUUAGCGUGUUAUACUUUCCAGCUUCUAACCGUCCUUCAUUGGACAAUAUUUGACU